UAGGGAAUCUUCGGCAAUGGACGAAAGUCUGACCGAGCAACGCCGCGUGAGUGAAGAAGGUUUUCGGAUCGUAAACUUUGUUGUUUGCGAAGAACAAGGACGUUUGUAACUGAACGUCCCCUUACGGUAUCUAACCAGAAAGCCCCGGCUAACUACGUGCCCGCCGCCGCGGUAAUACGUAGGUGGCAAGCGUUGUCCGGAUUUAUUGGGCGUAAAGCGAGCGCAGGCGGUUUCUUAAGUCUGAUGUGAAAGCCCCCGGCACAACCGGGGAGGGUGAUUGGAAACUGGGAGACUUGAGUGCAGAAGAGGAGAGUGGAAUUCCAUGUGUAGCGGUGAAAUGCGUAGAUAUAUGGAGGAACACCAGUGGCGAAGGCGGCUCGCUGGUCUGUAACUGACGCUGAGGCUCGAAAGCGUGGGGAGCAAACAGG
rnacentral:rRNA from 1 species